UACGUAGGGUGCAAGCGUUGUCCGGAAUUAUUGGGCGUAAAGAGCUCGUAGGCGGUCUGUCGCGUCGGAUGUGAAAAUCCAGGGCUCAACCCUGGACCUGCAUUCGAUACGGGCAGACUAGAGUUCGGCAGGGGAGACUGGAAUUCCUGGUGUAGCGGUGAAAUGCGCAGAUAUCAGGAGGAACACCGGUGGCGAAGGCGGGUCUCUGGGCAACAACUGACGCUGAGGAGCGAAAGCGUGGGGAGCGAACAGG
rnacentral:rRNA from 1 species